rnacentral:tRNA from 1 species
GGGGAUGUAGCUCAGUAGUAGAGCACUUGCCUCCCAUGCAUGAGUCCCUGAGUUCAAAUCCCCAGUUACUGCCA